GAUUUACUUAUCCAGCUUUUCUUCAGUGGAGAUUAAGCAGAAAAUUAUGCAGCAAAAUCCACAACAGGUAUUUCAGAUAUGCAAUCCGUCCACCAAGAAAGAAGUGUUAGUUAAACAACUUAUCUGUUGAAACAGUGAAGGAAACAGAUUAAUAACUUAUCUGGAAAUGUUUGUCCUUCUGCAGUAUGCUGCGGUUCAGCAAUGAUCCUAGCUGGCAGUGUUUUAUGCUACUUGUGAUAUUGAAGCAUUUGAAAAUAUUAAGAUUGAUUGAAAAUGCUUCAUUAGUAUCCAUGUCAUCAAGUAUUAAACUUACCGUUAAUGUUUGAUUGUAUGAUUUCCUGGUAAAAAGCGAACAUUUGUGUGCAGGCAAUAGUUGAUUUUAUGAAGGGGUGAGUGUAACUUAAGCUUAACUUACUUUUUCAAAGUACUAAUUGGUGUCAGGUAGUUUGGAAAACUUAUUGAUCCUUUGGUUGGAAAAUUGCAAAAUUAGUACUUAAAAUGACACUCAGCUUUGAUUUAGGCAUUGCCAUCUACUUAUUAACUGUCCAUAUGUGAACUAGUUUUACCAUGAGAGAGACGAGCUUGGUGAUGCAAACCUUGCUUUAAGCUUCAAUUCCUAUUGGUCAUGACUAGACACUCCUGAGAGUUUCUGCACUCAGUUUGUGAGAUCCCGUCUGGAUUGGAGUAGAUUUAAAGAAGUUUUGAGGACUCUUCCUUUCCACGUAUAUCAAUUAAGAUAUCCAGGGCGCUCAGAAGGUGUGUUUCUUGACAUGGUUGGCAGCUGGGAGCGAUUUUGACUGCUGAAACUUGAUGAAGAGGAGUAUAGCAUAUACCAGUUGGUGUUUUAUGUGUACGAGCUCGGGUGUGGACCCACCUCCUUUUACAAUGUCAUUAUCUCGCUUGUUCUUUUGAUUGAACACCUUUAGAUGGUUCGGACUCCAAUGGGUGGUGCACACACCUUGAGGGAAGCCUGUUCAACUGAACAUUUAGAAGAAUGGAGUAACCAGAAGGUGUGGGAAUUGGGAUACCACCCCACUAGCACCCAUUUAUUGUAUGGAAAAAGAGAAACAGGAUAGCUUUUGAAGGAACAGAAAAUGAUUUUGUGCUGAGGAACAACAAUCUCUAGUGAGAUUCUUUCUUUUUUUGGUGUACCCAUGAGAUUCCAAUAUGUAUGGAGUUGGGUGUCUAUUAUCGCUACAUAGGUUGUGUACAUCUGAUAACACUUGUAUACCAGAGUUCUCAUCCCAUUAUAAAUGAAAUUAGUUUACCUUAUUAAAAAUAAAAACAUUGCUGGAACAGUGAUACCAAUCCUUAAUCAGGAAGAGAGAUGGAAAAUUGUCCCAGCUUGCAUUUGGUGGACUCUGUGGGAAGAAAGAAUUCAAGUUGUUUUGAAGACAAAGCCAUUAGUAUACAGAAACUAAAGAUGAAAUGUUUAGGGCUUUUCUUUUGUUGGUGUAAACAUAGUUUAAUGGAGGAGUUAGAAUCAGUUUAUGAUCUACUCCAUUCUUUAUGAGAAGAUUAAGGAGUAGGAGCUUAUUUUUUUGCUCAUCUGGAUGUAAAUAUGGGGGACUAUAUACCUUUCGUGUAGUUGUUAUUAAUAAAUACACAAAAUCGUUGCAUGUUCAAAAAAAAUAACAACAACACUGCUAAAGGAAUUCUGUCCUUAUUUACUAGUAACCUUCUCUUUGUUGAUGCAAAUGAGUCCCUAUGUGGCACUAGCAGGCUAGAUCGUGGAGCAAUCUGUUUGGAUUCGAUUUCUUGUCUCUCUUCUUAUGCGCUAAUAGUGAUACCAAUAUUGUUUUACUGGUCAUACUAAUGUCGAAUUCUUCGGGUUCUUGCUUGGUUUGGUGGAUUCUUCCUUCGAGCGAUCUCAAGGAUAUGAUUGGGUAUUUUAGCUUUGACUCAAGGGUGCAAGUGGUCCUAACAGAAUAAUUGUUUUGCUAAUUGUCUCUGUUUUGGGAAAGAUGCAGAGCAUGCUCCUCCGUCUUCUGUAUUAUAAUAGGGUGGAGGGAGAGAUAAUAAAAGAAAAAUUAGAUUAGGAGAGGGCGGCGUCCAGUUAUGCGCUGCUGAGUCUGUUGUUUCUUGGUCUUUUGGUGCUUGCACUGUGAUGUGGAUCUUCAGCUUUGAGGAAAAGGGAUGUUCUUUGGCAUCUUCAGUGAUUUCCGGGGUAUGGUGUGGAAUAUUCCAACUUCGCACUUGACUGAGAAAUUGGUUGGUAGUUAUUUCAGAUAGGAGGAUACGUUUAACCUUAAACUAAAUUAUUGUUUAGCAAACACUUUAUCUUCAUCGUCAAACUCUUGCCUCACAGGGAAUAGUUAUAAACUCAUAAUAAUUUAAAUUCUUACUGCUUUCUCCAAGUCAGUCUUUUGUAUUCAUUAGGAUACAGAAAAUCUCUUGAAGGGUUGGAAAAUAUUUUUGUUUCAUUUCAA